AAAACUUUUAACAACGGAUCUCUUGGUUCUGGCAUCGAUGAAGAACGCAGCGAAAUGCGAUAAGUAAUGUGAAUUGCAAAAUUCAGUGAAUCAUCGAAUCUUUGAACGCACAUUGCGCCCGCCAGCAUUCUGGCGGGCAUGCCUGUUCGAGCGUCAUUU
rnacentral:rRNA from 1 species